AGGAUAAUAAUUAAAAUAUAAUAUUUAUUUUGCAAAUAAAAAUUAGUAAUUAAAAGAUUAUUUUAUCUUA
rnacentral:tRNA from 1 species